GCAGCAAGGUCUGGGAGCAUCCCUUAGCUCAGUGUUUUUCAAUCUUUUUGAUACCAGGGACUGGCUUGUUGCCUUCCUGAACUGUGUCAGGGAGACCUCAGGGACUGGCGCUGGUCCACAGAUCGGUCAU